AAAGAGUUUUAAUAUACUCUUUUUCUUUAGUUCAGUUCUCUGUGGAACUAGUUUUGAAUUAUUUCUUAAUUUGUUGUCCAAGUGUUUGAUUGACCGCACCCACGGCAGCCAGAUAUGGAGACAGCUCAAAACCAGGAUUUAUUCAAAGAUUUUGCGUAAGAAAGUAUUAGAAUUGUCCAGUGAAGGUCUUAGCAAUAUGAUAUCAGUCUUUCUGACUCUUUGUCAUUCUGACUCUUUGUCAUUCUUGUGAUCAAGAGGAUAUCAUUGAAGUGGGCCAGCAGUUUUACACAUCUCUGGAGUAUCGUCAGUUAUCUUCAACUUCUGAAACCAAUUUGAAAAUUAUAUGGAAAGGAAUAUUAUUACUGUUAAUGGUUUAUCACUCAAGAGUCAAGAGGCAUCUCAAUUUAUUCAAUGGCAAUAUUGAGCAACAUAAGAAAAAAUAUUAAAAUAUUAGCUGAUGCUUAUUUUAAACAGUCUCAUUCCAUUCUUGUCACUGACGUACUAUACAAUACUCUACAAUAUUAGAAGGACUCCAUC